ensembl:lncRNA
AGAUACAGGAGACAUGGGUUCAGUCCUUGGCUUGGGAAGAUCCCCUGGAGAAGGGAAUGGCUACCCACUCCAGUAUUUUUGCCUGAAAAAUCCCAUGGACAGAGGAGCCUGGUGGGCUACAGUCCAUGGGGUUGCAAACAGUAGGACAUAGCGACCAAAUAACAAACAAAAAGAGGUAUAUAAAACCUCAGUUAUUGUGGCAGGAGUGGAAAUGGGAAAUAAAGACCAGAUUAUGAGAGAUCAAGAGAGAAGGACUGCUAAAACCCAGGGAGCUUUGUUGUUCAGUCACUCAGUCGCAUCGGACUCUUGCAACCCCAUGAACUGCAGCACGCCAGACUUUCCUGUCCUUUAUCAUCUCCCGGAACUUGAUUAUGAGAGAUCACGAGAGAAGGAUUGCUAAAACCUGGUGAGGAAGGAGGGUUCAAAAUUCCUGGAGCCGUCAAGCCUGGGUGGAAGGGAGUAGCGGUCCAGCAGAGAGAGCUCUUCCCUCUGUUCUCAGCUCUCUGGAUAACCUUGAACAAACCAGCUAACCUCUUCAGCCUCAUCUGCUUCACCUAAUUAAGACUGGAGCAGAUGAUCGCAACCUUUCCCAUUCUCUGAAAUCAGCUCUUCACCAAAACCAGGAGGACAGCAAGGGUCCAUGGCUGGGAAACAAAAGACUUGUGUCUCAUGUUAGCUAUGUUGAGCUUUAGACGCCAGCCCACCAGGCUCUGCCGUCCCUGGGAUUCUCCAGGCAAGAACACUGGAGUGGGUUGCCAUUUCCUUCUCCAGUGCAUGAAAGUGAAAAGUGAAAGUGAACUUGCUCAGUCGUGUCCGACUCUCAGCGACCUCAUGGACUGUAGCCUACCAGGCUCCUCCGUCCGCGGGAUUUUCCAGAUUCUUGGGGAUUUGAUCACACAGGAAGCAACUAGUUUAGUGGCAAUAACCCUUAGACCCAACCUCUAAA